rnacentral:tRNA from 1 species
CAAAUUAGAGCUCGAAGAGUAUUUUAUUUACAUUAAAAAGUUAAUUGUUAAAUUCAAUUUAAUUUGA